UGGUGGUGUGAAUUGUCUGGUUAAUUCCGUUAACGAACGAGACCUCGACCUGCUAAAUAGUUUGGCGAAUUCUCCGGAUUCGUGCAGACUUCUUAGAGGGACUAUCGGUUGGUGUACCCGGUGGAAGUUCGAGGCAAUAACA
rnacentral:rRNA from 1 species